rnacentral:rRNA from 1 species
GACGAACGCUGGCGGCGUGCUUAACACAUGCAAGUCGAACGGAAAGGCCCUGCUUUUGUGGGGUGCUCGAGUGGCGAACGGGUGAGUAACACGUGAGUAACCUGCCCUUGACUUUGGGAUAACUUCAGGAAACUGGGGCUAAUACCGGAUAGGAGCUCCUGCUGCAUGGUGGGGGUUGGAAAGUUUCGGCGGUUGGGGAUGGACUCGCGGCUUAUCAGCUUGUUGGUGGGGUAGUGGCUUACCAAGGCUUUGUCGGGUAGCCGGCCUGAGAGGGUGACCGGCCACAUUGGGAGUGAGAUACGGCCCAGACUCCUACGGGAGGCAGCAGUAGGGAAUAAUGCACAAUGGGCGGAAGCCUGAUGCAGCAACGCCGCGUGCGGGAUGACGGCCUUCGGGUUGUAAACCGCUUUCGCCUGUGACGAAGCGAGAGUGACGGUAAUGGGUAAAGAAGCACCGGCUAACUACGUG